UGGCAGAUCUUGGGACUUCUGAGUCCCCACAUCAUCUGUGUUUAACAAAGGUCGUCGGGGGAGUGACUAUGCCCCAGAGUCCACCAUGAGAGUGCUGAAGAGCCAAAGACUGACUUUGCAAAUUGAAGUACCCUGGCUCCCUUGUCGUCUGGCUGCUGGUUGGAUUCUGCAAGGAGAAUGACAGAGUUCUGAUUAUAACAAAGUACUUUAUUUACCAAGUGUUUUCCUGAAUGUGAAUCUACUGAAAAAAGAGGUUCAAGUGAUAUUUUACUAAGAAAUGUGUUUAUUUCUUCUGUAUGUACCAUGAUGGCAGGCAAUUAAAUUAUAAAGAAAUUUUAAUUAUGUUUAGUAAGAAUUGAGAUAUGUAGGUUAUUUUAUGCUAUAAUAUUUUUAUCCUCUGCUCAGUCUACCAUGAAAUGUCAAGUAGGUAGACAUUGUAACCCAAGCAUUUUGUCUUUCAAUUUUUAUAAUUAUUUAGACUACAGUUAACUUGAGUGUUCCUGACUUUCUCUGUGCUUAUUGUUCAGAUAGAGAUGAUUAUAAUUUCAUUUGUAUUUAACGGUAAGUCUUCCACUCUCUAGUCUGAACAUAUUGACCUCAAUUAUUCUUACAAGUCAGAUUAGCCUUAUUAGCAUCAAUCAUUAAUAAAACAUAGGAAAAGACUAUAUUCUAAGCAGUUGCCUUCCACGUGGCAACAAUCAGCAGGACUAGUGUGUUUGAAGAGAGAUAUGUGUUUUCUUCUAAUGAUAUUUAAGGUAUGGAUUAUAGGAUUAAGCCCAUCUACCUAACCAACCUGGAUAAAGGACCGGAGAAUGGCAUUCAUCCUCAUCCUGCAGUACAAUUACUCUUUUUAGGACUAAUCAAAGCUGAAAAAUAAGAACUUAAAUCCUGUCCCAUACUCCCAUCUUUGUACCCCAAUAGAAACUCUGCUAUGAAUAACUGAUAAAAACAUCAAAUUGCAUUAGCCAGACUACCACUGUACAGAAGAAAUACCUCCUUUAUCUUUUCCAAACACACAAAUAUGUGGGAUAUUCCUGCUGAAAUUUAAUGACUCAAUUGUAUACAUCAAGUCUAAUGUGAACUUUCUGCAACAAGCACUGUACUAGUCAUAUAUAAGAUGAAAUAUAUCUAAAAUAAUAUCAGCACAUCUCUCUGAAUCUCUUUUAUUGUGAAAGCCAUCACUUUAAAAUAAAGUAAAUAUAUGAGGGAUUUUUUUUCUUUUUUUUAAAUUUUAUUAUUAUUAUACUUUAAGUUUUAGGAUAAAUGUGCACAAUGUGCAGGUUUGUUACAUAUGUAUACAUGUGCCAUGUUGGUGUGCUGCACCCAUUAACUCGUCAUUUAGCAUUAGGUGUAUCUCCUAAUGCUUUCCCUCCCCUCUCCCCCCACCCCACAACAGUCCCCGGUGUGUGAUGUUCCCCUUCCUGUGUCCAUGUGUUCUCAUUGUUCAAUUCCC
rnacentral:lncRNA from 10 species